UCAAAUCCAAUAGGCGACUAACCUGAAAUGAUUAACCUUCUCAAUCAGCAGUGCUUGGAACAAAUAUUCGACUCCCAGUAGAAAAUUAACAUAAAAAAGUUCAAUCAUAUAACAAGCACAAAAAAUCCACAAAGCCUCCGUCUUUUGCUCAUGUAAAAUGAAAAACCAAUCUAACAAUCAAAAUUCUAUACAAAUGGCAUCCAUUUGUAUCGAUGACAGAAAAGAAAGACUGGUAUUUCUUCUAUCUAAAAAUUUUCGUAUCCGUGA
rnacentral:misc_RNA from 1 species